rnacentral:rRNA from 1 species
UACGUAGGGCGCAAGCGUUGUCCGGAAUUAUUGGGCGUAAAGAGCUCGUAGGCGGUUCGUCGCGUCGGCUGUGAAAACUCGGGGCUCAACCCCGAGCCUGCAGUCGAUACGGGCAAACUAGAGUGCUGUAGGGGAGACUGGAAUUCCUGGUGUAGCGGUGAAAUGCGCAGAUAUCAGGAGGAACACCGGUGGCGAAGGCGGGUCUCUGGGCAGUAACUGACGCUGAGGAGCGAAAGCGUGGGGAGCGAACAGG